rnacentral:rRNA from 1 species
CCUACGGGAGGCAGCAGUGAGGAAUAUUGGUCAAUGGUCGGGAGACUGAACCAGCCAAGCCGCGUGAGGGAGGAAGGUACAGAGUAUCGUAAACCUCUUUUGUCAGGGAACAAAGACUGGGACGCGUCCCCGGAUGAGUGUACCUGAAGAAAAAGCAUCGGCUAACUCCGUGCCAGCAGCCGCGGUAAUACGGAGGAUGCGAGCGUUAUCCGGAUUUAUUGGGUGUAAAGGGCGUGUAGGCGGGACUGCAAGUCAGAUGUGAAAUUCCAGGGCUCAACCCUGGAACUGCAUUUGUAACUGUAGUUCUUGAGUGAUGGAGAGGCAGGCGGAAUUCCGUGUGUAGCGGUGAAAUGCGUAGAUAUACGGAGGAACACCAGUGGCGAAGGCGGCCUGCUGGACAUUAACUGACGCUGAGGCGCGAAAGCGUGGGGAGCAAACAGGAUUAGAUACCCCGGUAGUC